GAAAUGCGAUAAGUAAUGUGAAUUGCAGAAUUCAGUGAAUCAUCGAAUCUUUGAACGCACCUUGCGCUCCUUGGUAUUCCUUGGAGCAUGCCUGUUUGAGUAUCAUGAAAUCUUCAAAGUAAAUCUUUUGUUAACUCAAUUGGUUUCUACUUUGGUAUUGGAGGUCUUUGCAGCUUCACACCUGCUCCUCUUUGUUCAUUAGCUGGAUCUCAGUGUUAUGCUUGGUUCCACUCGGCGUGAUAAGUUAUCUAUCGCUGAGGACACUGUAAAAGGUGGCCAAGGUAAAUGCAGAUGAACCGCUUCUAACAGUCCAUUGACUUGGACAAUACUUUUAUGAUCUGAUCUCAAAUCAGGUAGGACUACCCGCUGAACCUAAGC
rnacentral:misc_RNA from 1 species